rnacentral:rRNA from 1 species
AAUGAACGUUGGCGGCGUGGAUUAGGCAUGCAAGUCGAGCGAGAAUUUGCGAUUGGAAGCUUCGGCCGAAGAAAGUGAAGGAAAGCGGCAAACGGCGUAGUAAGGCGUAGGUACGUACCCUCGGGUCGGGAAUAGCCAUGGGAAACUGUGGGUAAUGCCCGAUAAUCUCUGCGGAGCAAAGGUGUGAUUCCGCCUGAGGAGCGGCUUACGCGAUAUUAGCUAGUUGGUGGGGUAAUGGCCUACCAAGGCGAUGAUGUCUAGGGGGUGUGAGAGCAUGGCCCCCACACUGGGACUGAGAUACUGCCCAGACACCUACGGGUGGCUGCAGUCGAGAAUCUUCGGCAAUGGGCGCAAGCCCUGACCGAGCAACGCCGCGUGCGGGAUGAAGGCCCUUGGGUUGUAAACCGCUGUCAGGGGGAUGAAAGCGCAAGCUUGACAGGGCCCCAGACGGAAGCACGGGCUAAGUUCGUGCCAGCAGCCGCGGUAAAGUGUG